rnacentral:rRNA from 1 species
UACGAAGGGUGCAAGCGUUACUCGGAAUUACUGGGCGUAAAGCGUGCGUAGGUGGUGAGUUAAGUCUGUCGUGAAAGCCCCGGGCUCAACUGGAUGGACGAUGGAUACUGGCUCGCUAGAGUGCGGUAGAGGAGAGUGGAAUUCCCGGUGUAGCAGUGAAAUGCGUAGAUAUCUGGAGGAACACCGGUGGCGAAGGCGGGUCUCUGGGCCGAAACUGACGCUGAGGAGCGAAAGCGUGGGGAGCAAACAGG